rnacentral:lncRNA from 1 species
ACCAACAGUCUAGUUGUCAAUACAAGCCCUGAUUAAAACCAUUGAAGAUAGAGUGCACACUAAUUAAACAAUCAUCAAGGUCCUUAACGAAACAAGAAAGGGAGUCCAGAUUUCAGAAAGAUGGUCAAAAGCAGCAACCAACCUUCGUUGAGGGAUUACUCAUAACAAGGGAGAAUACCAAUCAUAGCUUACGAAAGCAAGACCUGUCUCUUUGUACAGUCUUCAUUGACCAGCUGAAGGCGUUUAUCAGAGUAUUAAAACCUUGAAUUAGAAGCACAGAAGGUAAAGGCAUUUUUGGUACGUAGGGGCUUACAAACUUAUAUACGCACAACUAUUUCUAA